rnacentral:rRNA from 1 species
GAUGAACGCUGGCGGCGUGCCUAAUACAUGCAAGUCGAACGCUUCACUUCGGUGAAGAGUGGCGAACGGGUGAGUAAUACAUAAGUAACCUGGCAUCCACAGGGGGAUAACUGAUGGAAACGUCAGCUAAGACCGCAUAGGUGUAGAGAUCGCAUGAACUCUAUAUGAAAAGUGCUACGGGACUGGUAGAUGAUGGACUUAUGGCGCAUUAGCUUGUUGGUAGGGUAACGGCCUACCAAGGCGACGAUGCGUAGCCGACCUGAGAGGGUGACCGGCCACACUGGGACUGAGACACGGCCCAGACUCCUACGGGAGGCAGCAGUAGGGAAUUUUCGGCAAUGGGGGAAACCCUGACCGAGCAACGCCGCGUGAAGGAAGAAGUAAUUCGUUAUGUAAACUUCUGUCAUAGAGGAAGAACGGUGGAUAUAGGGAAUGAUAUCCAAGUGACGGUACUCUAUAAGAAAGCCACGGCUAACUACGUG